AUCAGAUAACCCAGAGCUCGUUACCUUCAUACGCAGGUGGCCGUCUGUGUGAAACCAGAGCGUCCCACGCCAGGCAGGAUCAGAAAGCAGGAGGAAGGGCUGGAUCUCUCGAGGUGGAGGAACACGCCGUCUGGUAGCUACAUCCGGACUGCUAAGGUUUCAAUCUGCUCCUUUCAAUGAGGCUUUCAUUCCUGGGCUUAGAGAAAGGUUCUUCUCUUCUGCUUUCUUCUCUCUUUUUCAGAGGUAAGUGGGGUAGCUAAGGGGGGAGAACAGACAUCUCAUCUGCAGGGCAGGACAGAGAGCCAGCAGGAGAAAAAAGGGAACAAAACCAAAGCACAGAAAAGUGGCAGCUUUGAGGGCUUUCAAGUACCAUUGUCGGGGAGAGAAAAAAAUGAAAAAAAA
rnacentral:lncRNA from 1 species